CCCCUGCCUGGGUGGCCUGCACGGGUCAGCCCUCACACCCAGUGCUGGAGUGGCCAGUGCUGCAGAUUCACCCUCAAAGCGUGUCGGGCUGCAAAGUUGGCCCCGUGCAGUGCUUCCAGAAAAGACCUACUUGACAUUUCAGGAGGGUGAAGAAAGAAAAGCGAGAGACGUAAUUCUCAGUUGAAACUGCAGGAUGGAGAAAUCUCAGUGAAUCCAGCAUUUGGUGCUUCCUAAUGUCUCUGUAAAUUAGCCAGGUGAGGCGGGAAGAUAGGACCGACACCUGGCCCUCCUGUGGAAAGUGUGCCAGGGUCUCCCCCACAUGUCCCUGUCUUGGGGGGCAGGGUGUUGUGGUGGGCUGGGGCUUGGCGCUGCUCACACACGCCCCGCCCCUCUCCACCGUGGGUGUCCGGGCUCAUAUCGAACCUCCCCGUGGGCAGCCUCGAAGGCCAUGCAAAGGGAGCCCUUCAGAGAGGGUCACUUAUUUUAAUAUGCGUCACCCCCUGGAUCACGAUCCUGUCCGUGGGAAUAAUCUCCAGGAGUGGAUUGGCCAAAUCCCAUGCUGGUGAUGCAGAGCGACAGAACACCUGGGUCCACCCUUGGCUCCCCCGUCUGUUCCCUGUGUGAUCAUAGGCAACAGGCUCCACCCGUCUGUGCCUCGGUUUCCUCCUCUGGAAAAUGGGGGCAUUAACAGUACCUAUCCCUCUAGAUGGUUGUGAGGAAUUAAUGUGUUUAUUGCAGUGUCCAACAAGUAGAAAGCAUUCAAGCAAU